GAUUAACGCUAGCGGCAGGCCUAAUACAUGCAAGUCGAACGGUAACAGGUCCAGCAAUGGAUGCUGACGAGUGGCGCACGGGUGCGUAACACGUAUGCAACCUACCUUUAACUGGAGGAUAGCCCCGAGAAAUCGGGAUUAAUACUCCAUAACAUUAUGAUGGGGCAUCUCAUUAUAAUUAAAGCUCCGGCGGUUUUAGAUGGGCAUGCGCGACAUUAGCUAGUUGGUGAGGUAACGGCUCACCAAGGCUACGAUGUCUAGGGGUUCUGAGAGGAUUAACCCCCACACUGGUACUGAGACACGGACCAGACUCCUACGGGAGGCAGCAGUAAGGAAUAUUGGUCAAUGGACGCAAGUCUGAACCAGCCAUGCCGCGUGAAGGAUGACGGCCCUAGUGGUUGUAAACUUCUUUUGUACGGGAAAAAACCUCCGGUCGUGAAUCGGAGCUGAUGGUACCGUAAGAAUAAGCAUCGGCUAACUCCGUGCCAGCAGCCGCGGUAAUACGGAGGGUGCGAGCGUUGUUCGGAAUUACUGGGCGUAAAGCGCGUGUAGGCUGCUUCGCAAGUCGGAUGUGAAAGCCCUGGGCUCAACCCAGGAAGUGCAUUCGAAACUGCAGAGCUGGAGUCCUGGAGAGGAAGGCG
rnacentral:rRNA from 1 species